rnacentral:rRNA from 1 species
CAUGUGGUUUAAUUCGAAGCAACGCGCAGAACCUUACCAGCCCUUGACAUCCCGGUCGCGGUUUCCAGAGAUGGAUUCCUCAGUUCGGCUGGACCGGUGACAGGUGCUGCAUGGCUGUCGUCAGCUCGUGUCGUGAGAUGUUGGGUUAAGUCCCGCAACGAGCGCAACCCUCGCCCUUAGUUGCCAUCAUUCAGUUGGGCACUCUAAGGGGACUGCCGGUGAUAAGCCGAGAGGAAGGUGGGGAUGACGUCAAGUCCUCAUGGCCCUUACGGGCUGGGCUACACACGUGCUACAAUGGUGGUGACAGUGGGCAGCGAGACCGCGAGGUCGAGCUAAUCUCCAAAAGCCAUCUCAGUUCGGAUUGCACUCUGCAACUCGACUGCAUGAAGUUGGAAUCGCUAGUAAUCGCGGAUCAGCCAAGCCGCGGUGAAUACGUUCCCGGGCCUU